UACAGAGGUCCCAAGCGUUGUUCGGAAUUAUUGGGCGUAAAGGGCGCGUAGGCGGUGCGGUAAGUCUGUAGUGAAAUCUCUGGGCUCAACUCAGAGUCUGCUGCAGAAACUGCCGUGCUUGAGUGUGGGAGAGGUGAGUGGAAUUCCUGGUGUAGCGGUGGAAUGCGCAGAUAUCAGGAGGAACACCGAUGGCGAAGGCAGCUCGCUGGGACGGUACUGACGCUGAGGCGCGAAAGCGUGGGGAGCAAACAGG
rnacentral:rRNA from 1 species